rnacentral:rRNA from 1 species
UACAGAGGGUGCAAGCGUUGUUCGGAAUUACUGGGCGUAAAGCGCGUGUAGGCGGCAGCGUAAGUCGGAUGUGAAAUCCCUUGGCUUAACCAAGGAAGUGCAUCCGAUACUGCGUUGCUUGAGUGCCGGAGGGGAUGGCGGAAUUCCCGGUGUGAGAGGUGAAAUUCGUAGAUAUCGGGAGGACACCUGUGGCGAAGGCGGCCAUCUGGACGGUAACUGACGCUGAGACGCGAAAGCGUGGGUAGCAAACAGGAUUGAGAU